CCUACGGGAGGCAGCAGUAGGGAAUUUUCCGCAAUGGGCGAAAGCCUGACGGAGCAAUACCGCGUGAGGGAUGACUGCCUAUGGGUUGUAAACCUCUUUUUUCAGGGAGGAAUAAAUGACGUGUACCUGAAGAAUAAGCAUCGGCUAACUCCGUGCCAGCAGCCGCGGUAAGACGGAGGAUGCAAGUGUUAUCCGGAAUCACUGGGCGUAAAGCGUCUGUAGGUGGCUCGACAAGUCAACUGUUAAAUCUUGAAGCUCAACUUCAAAAUCGCAGUCGAAACUAUCGGACUAGAGUAUAGUAGAGGUAAAGGGAAUUUCCAGUGGAGCGGUGAAAUGCGUAGAGAUUGGAAAGAACACCGAUGGCGAAGGCACUUUACUGGGCUAUUACUGACACUCAGAGACGAAAGCUAGGGUAGCAAAUGGGAUUAGAUACCCCAGUAGUCCUAGCCGUAAACAAUGGAUACUAGGUGUUGAACAGAUCGACCUGUGCAGUACCAAAGCUAACGCGUUAAGUACCCCGCCUGGGAAGUAUGCNCGCAGUAGUAGAACUACAAUAGAAGUAGACGGCGUGAGACGUCGCCGACGGACGACGACGAGGGAGGUUAGG
rnacentral:rRNA from 1 species